UUGGAGGGCAAGUCUGGUGCCAGCAGCCGCGGUAAUUCCAGCUCCAAUAGCGUAUAUUAAAGUUGUUGCAGUUAAAAAGCUCGUAGUUGAAUUUCGAGAUCAGUACGCUGGUCGUGCCUUCGGUAUGCACUGGUGUCACUGGUUUCUCCCUUCUGAAGAACCGUCAUGUCAUUAAGUUGGUGUGGCGGGGAAUCAGGACUGUUACUUUGAAAAAAUUAGAGUGUUUAAAGCAGGCUCGCGCUUGAAUACAUUAGCAUGGAAUAAUGAAAUAGGACGUUUGACCCUAUUUUGUUGGUUUCUAGGAUCGACGUAAUGAUUAAUAGGGAUAGUUGGGGGCAUUAGUAUUCAAUUGUCAGAGGUGAAAUUCUUGGAUUUAUUGAAGACUAACUACUGCGAAAGCAUUUGCCAAGGAUGUUUUCAUUAAUCAAGAACGAAAGUUAGGGGAUCGAAGACGAUCAGAUACCGUCGUAGUCUUAACCAUAAACUAUGCCGACUAGGGAUCGGAUGAUGUUAAUUUUUUAAUGACUCAUUCGGCGCCUUACGGGAAAC
rnacentral:rRNA from 2 species